CCUACGGGGGGCAGCAGUGAGGAAUAUUGGUCAAUGGGCGGGAGCCUGAACCAGCCAAGUCGCGUGAGGGAAGACGGUCCUACGGAUCGUAAACCUCUUUUGCCGGGGAGCAACGGGGUCCUUGCGAGGGCCCAAUGAGAGUACCCGGAGAAAAAGCAUCGGCUAACUCCGUGCCAGCAGCCGCGGUAAUACGGAGGAUGCGAGCGUUAUCCGGAUUUAUUGGGUUUAAAGGGAGCGUAGGUGGAUUGUUAAGUCAGUUGUGAAAGUUUGCGGCUCAACCGUAAAAUUGCAGUUGAAACUGGCAGUCGUGAGUACAGUAGAGGUGGGCGGAAUUCGAGGUGUAGCGGUGAAAUGCUUAGAUAUCACGAAGAACUCCGAUUGCGAAGGCAGCUCACUGGACUGCAACUGACACUGAGGCUCGAAAGUGUGGGUAUCAAACAGGAUUAGAUACCCCAGUAGUC
rnacentral:rRNA from 1 species